AGGCAUGUGGUUUAAUUCGAUGGUACGCGAGGAACCUUACCUGGGUUUGACAGUACAGGGGAUGUGGCAGCGAUGUCACAGACUGGAAACAGUACCCUGUACAGGUGCUGCAUGGCUGUCGUCAGCUCGUGCCGUGAGGUGUUGGGUUAAGUCCCGCAACGAGCGCAACCCUUAUCGUUAGUUGCCAUCUGGUAAUGCAGGGGACUCUAGCGAAACUGCCACCGUAAGGUGAGAGGAAGGUGGGGAUGACGUCAAAUCAGCACGGCCCUUAUGUCCAGGGCUACACACGUGUUACAAUGGUCGGUACAGAGGGCAGCUACCUGGUGACAGGAUGCUAAUCUCGAAAACCGGUCUCAGUUCGGAUCGAAGUCUGCAACUCGACUUCGUGAAGCUGGAUUCGCUAGUAAUCGCGCAUCAGCUAUGGCGCGGUGAAUACGUUCCCGGGCCUU
rnacentral:rRNA from 1 species